rnacentral:rRNA from 13 species
GGAUUGUAAUGUCACCUCGCGCGGGGAUAGAUCCUCUGCAGACGACUGAAGUGACCAAGCGGGUCGUGUAAGCGGUCAAGUAGCCUUGUUGCUACGAGUCGCUGAGCGUCAGCUC